UUAAAUUGAAGAGUUUGAUCAUGGCUCAGAUUGAACGCUGGCGGCAGGCCUAACACAUGCAAGUCGAGCGGCAGCGGGAAAGUAGCUUGCUACUUUUGCCGGCGAGCGGCGGACGGGUGAGUAAUGCCUGGGG
rnacentral:rRNA from 1 species